AUGGUUAUCGGUGCUGGGCAGAGGCAUCUUGGCUUGCGACACCAAUCUCAGCAAUGGAUGGAUGGGGCUGCACACCUACCUAUGACUGUCACCCUUAUGCCACCAUGGCGAGCGACCCCAAGCCCCGACAGAGACGUGUGCCCGCUCUGCGGUAGCGGAGAGUACGGGGAGGGAAGGAGGAGGUGGAGGAGGCGAGAAGUUGUGACGUCACGCUCUCCACCAAUGCUUUCAAGUCAUCCGCCCUGCACCAAGGCACUCAUCUCCCUGCUUGAUUCCACUCCUCCACAUUCGGUCCUUCAGUUGUCGACGUGUUGCUGGAGGCUCCUCGAAGGCGGUGACCGGCGAGUUCUUGAUUGGCAGCCGCAACACACCGUACGCAGUGCUCGCCAAAGCUAA
rnacentral:rRNA from 1 species